UGUCAUGCCAAUGGCAUUGCCCGGUAGCUAAGUGCGGAAAAGAUAAGCGCUGAAAGCAUCUAAGCGCGAAACUUGCCUCAAGAUGAGUCUUCCCUGGGCCUUUAAGGCCCCUGAAGGAACGUUUAAGACUAAGACGUUGAUAGGCUGGGUGUGUAAGUGCAGCGAUGCAUUGAGCUAACCAGUACUAAUGAUCCGUGAGGCUUAACCUUACAACACCGAAGGUGUUU
rnacentral:rRNA from 1 species